GUAGGUGGCAAGCGUUGUCCGGGAAUUAUUGGGGCGUAAAGCGCGCGCAGGCGGUCCUUUAAGGUCUGAUGUGAAAGCCCACGGGCUCAACCGUGGAGGGUCAUUGGAGACUGGGGGACUUGAGUACAGAAGAGGAAAGCGGAAUUCCAAGUGUAGCGGUGAAAUGCGUAGAGAUUUGGAGGAACACCAGUGGCGAAGGCGGCUUUCUGGUCUGUAACUGACGCUGAGGCGCGAAAGCGUGGGGAGCAAACAGGAUUAGAUACCCUGGUAGUCCACGCCGUAAACGAUGAGUGCUAAGUGUUAGGGGGUUUCCGCCCCUUAGUGCUGCAGCUAACGCAUUAAGCACUCCGCCUGGGGAGUACGGCCGCAAAGGCUGA
rnacentral:rRNA from 1 species